CUCUGAGCUUUCUCAUUGCCUUCUCAAAGAAAAAUCCUAGGAGAGAGAAUUAUAUCUCUCUCUGAUCAGAGAAUGUGAAUAUCACAGGGCUUCUCUGCCUGAUUGCCAGAGCUGCCACCCUGACCUGCACAGGUACUGAUCUGGAUGAUUAUAAGGAACUUGGCUGCUUAGAAGCAAGGACAGUGCUGUGCACAUCAAAAAAGAAAGCCUUCACCUGAGUUAGGAACCCCUGCUUGACACUUCUUUUAGGAGACAAAAAAAAAGCAAGAAAGCAAAUUGGAGCACUGCUAAUACCUGCCAGUUUAUUGCAGCACUUCUGGAAGUGGCUUUGUCCUAAUGCCAGCUGAAGAAGGUGGAUUGAUCUUGUGUAUUCAUGUUUGGAAAUAUCAAAAAACUUGUGUUCAGCUCAUGUAAACAACAUGAAAGAGACAUUUGGAACACUGCUUUAUCAAUUUCCUGGUGUAAUGGGAGAAUAUAACUCAGGGAAGGCUGAGAAUUGCACGUUGAUUUCUACUGAAAGGCAGGCAUUAUGAUGAAUGUGAAUUUUGCCUUCUUUUAUAAGUUACUGCUCCACUGAUGCAGUUUUUCUCAGUGUCACUGGCUCAUCUGGAGGUCAAAUGCUGUGUGACUUUCAGACUCACUUGAGAGUCUGGAGUCUUGAAAGGGAUGAGCACGAGCAGCACAAAUGGGCUGCAGCAAGUGCACAAGAGCACACAGCUCCUCCUGGGACGUUAAUCUGCCUCUUGCCUCACAGAGAAGGACUUCCUUUCCCCAACUAUUUUCCAGUCAUUAGGACACAGGAACAAGCCUUUGUGGUGCCUUCUGAGCAAGUGAAGAGAAUUAGGCUGCAGCACACAAAGCACAAAAGCAUGGGAGGGACGAAGGAUCCUUGCGGGCACAGAGCGACAGAGCAUGAGAUCAGUGCUCAGGAGAUAAAAGGAACUGAUGGAAACACUGCAGAGCCCUGAUGUAUCACAGAUACCAGGCAGAUGUUUGCAGCACUUGCUCCUCUGCCAGACCCUUCUGUUGUUUCUGGGCAAUCAUCCAUUUACUCUGUUGCCUCAGCUACAAGGUUUUUCUUUCCUGCCUGACAGCUGCUGAUAUCCGUGCUGGCAACAACACUUCUGCUUCACUUGCUCAGUCUUCCCUGUUCAAAGAGAAACUUGGUUUCUUUACAUAUAAAUUCAAAAUGUCUGUCACUGAUUAGUGUCCUCCUUGGAAAAUCUUUUUCCUGUCUAAAAAUUCCAAAUGUGGGACAUGGCAAAAUUACGAGAAAAGGUAAAGAGAAAGAGUAUCCAAAAAGAAUCGGAACAGAAGGAAUUCUCUUACUUUUCAGAGACUCCUUAAAUGAUGUCUAAUGGCCAUUAAUAUACUAUAUCCUUGAUCAGUAUCUAGCUAUUUGGAAAUGCAUUUCAGUUUCUACAUGUACAUGAGAGUUUAGUAACAAAAAAUAAUGCAGUCAUAGACUCAAAAUCAUUCUUUGUAGAAUGAAGAAAACUCCACACUCUUUAUUAACUGAACAUAAACCAAUGAGAAUGGUAAGGAC